rnacentral:misc_RNA from 1 species
UCUCCGUUGGUGAACCAGCGGAGGGAUCAUUACACAAAUAUGAAGGCGGGCUGGAACCUCUCGGGGUUACAGCCUUGCUGAAUUAUUCACCCUUGUCUUUUGCGUACUUCUUGUUUCCUUGGUGGGUUCGCCCACCACUAGGACAAACAUAAACCUUUUGUAAUUGCAAUCAGCGUCAGUAACAAAUUAAUAAUUACAACUUUCAACAACGGAUCUCUUGGUUCUGGCAUCGAUGAAGAACGCAGC